GAUGAACGCUAGCGGCAGGCCUAACACAUGCAAGUCGAGGGGCAGCACAGAAACAGCAAUGUUUUGGUGGCGACCGGCGGACGGGUGCGUAACGCGUAUGCAACCUACCUUUAACAGGGGGAUAACGGAGAGAAAUUUCCACUAAUACCCCAUAACAUCGAUCAAGGCAUCUUGAUUGGUUGAAAACUCCGGUGGUUAAAGAUGGGCAUGCGUUGUAUUAGGUAGUUGGUGAGGUAAUGGCUCACCAAGCCUACGAUACAUAGGGGGACUGAGAGGUUAGCCCCCCAAACUGGUACUGAGACACGAACCAGACUCCUACGGGAGGCAGCAGUGAGGAAUAUUGGUCAAUGGGGGCAACCCUGAACCAGCCAUGCCGCGUGCAGGAAGACGGCUCUAUGAGUUGUAAACUGCUUUUAAACAGGGAUAAAGCACAGUGUGUAUACUGUGUUGAAGGUACUGUAAGAAUAAGGAUCGGCUAACUCCGUGCCAGCCGCCGCCGUAA
rnacentral:rRNA from 1 species